UGUGUUGUGAUUGAAAUCUAA
rnacentral:piRNA from 1 species